CACCUGUUGUAUAUUAUAUAAAAACACAGUAUUGAAAAUAUCCAUCUUGUAUAUUUAUACAAAGCUUAUUUUUAUAUUAUCUUAUUAUUAAAAGUAUUAUAUCACACUUAACAGUUAAAAUAUAUAUCGUGUAAGUACCUCAAAUCAAUACAAUUCAAUAAUAAAUCAUUGGUAGGUCAUCCAGGCAUGUUUAAUCUACAGCCAAUUGUAUAACACAUCAUUGAUGAAAUACAUAAUAAUAUUAGUACAAGUAAGCGUUAUACAGUAGGUACACAAUGUAAUUAGUAAAGCAAAAUAUUAUUAUUGUUGUUAUAAUUUUAAAACUACACACACCGUUUAAAAAAAAAUGAAUACACUAAAAUAAAUAUUAUAUUGUAUAUGAUAUAUAUAUAUAGGUAUAAUAUAUUUCACUACUGACUCGCUGGAUAGCACCGAUGAUGGCACCAUUGUAAAUAUACAUUUAUAACUUAAUAGUAAGUGUUUCAUGUUUUGAUUAAUACAAAUUUGAGUAAUUUAGAAUAUAAAACAAUGUUUGAAUAUUGUCAAUAUUAAUUAUAAUAAUUUAAUUUCAAUUAAACUGACUUUCAUUCAGUAGGGUGAUUUCAGUGUAUAGAUGCCAAUUACAUAUUAUAAUCAUUUAUUUUAGUAUGAACAAAAUUUUAUUUUACAAAAAUAAAAUAAAAAAGAAAGACAUAACCAUAAAACCAUAUGAAAAUAAAAUCUAAUACACAAUUAUCAUGAGCAUUGGAACAUAUAUAUUAUUGUAAACGCAAAUAAUGAAAGUUUUUCUUCUGUUUUAGCUCAUAAAACACUUCUUGUUUUAAACAUUUGAAAUAUUAAUUUUUGCACACUUAAAAGUGUAUUAAAAUAUUAUGAUAAUUUAAAAUUCUAAACAUAUAAAUUAAUGGAUUUUCAUAUUUUCUAAUUUGUAUAAAAUUAUUCUGUGAUUCGUUUCAUUAAU